UGGGUAACCUGCCUGUAAGACUGGGAUAACUCCGGGAAACCGGGGCUAAUACCGGAUAGUUCUUUUCCUCGCAUGAGGAAAAGUGGAAAGGCGGCUUCGGCUGCCACUUACAGAUGGACCCGCGGCGCAUUAGCUAGUUGGUGAGGUAACGGCUCACCAAGGCAACGAUGCGUAGCCGACCUGAGAGGGUGAUCGGCCACACUGGGACUGAGACACGGCCCAGACUCCUACGGGAGGCAGCAGUAGGGAAUCUUCCGCAAUGGACGAAAGUCUGACGGAGCAACGCCGCGUGAGUGAUGAAGGUUUUCGGAUCGUAAAGCUCUGUUGUUAGGGAAGAACAAGUGCCGUUCGAAUAGGGCGGCACCUUGACGGUACCUAACCAGAAAGCCACGGCUAACUACGUGCCAGCAGCCGCGGUAAUACGUAGGUGGCAAGCGUUGUCCGGAAUUAUUGGGCGUAAAGCGCGCGCAGGCGGUCUCUUAAGUCUGAUGUGAAAGCCCACGGCUCAACCGUGGAGGGUCAUUGGAAACUGGGGGACUUGAGUACAGAAGAGGAAAGUGGAAUUCCACGUGUAGCGGUGAAAUGCGUAGAUAUGUGGAGGAACACCAGUGGCGAAAGCGACUUUCUGGUCUGUAACUGACGCUGAGGCG
rnacentral:rRNA from 2 species